AUACGGAGGGUGCAAGCGUGAUUCGGAAUCACUGGGCGUAAAGGACGCGUAGGCGGGUUGGCAAGUCAGAUGUGAAAUCCUACAGCUUAACUGUAGAACUGCAUUUGAAACUGCUAACCUAGAGUAUGGGAGGGGGAGAUGGAAUUAGUGGUGUAGGGGUAAAAUCCGUAGAUAUCACUAGGAAUACCGAAAGCGAAGGCGAUCUCCUGGAACAUAACUGACGCUAAGGCGUGAAAGCGUGGGGAGCAAACAGGAUUAGAUACCCUAGUAGUCC
rnacentral:rRNA from 1 species